rnacentral:rRNA from 1 species
CUUUCUUUGCUGGCGACCGGCGCGCGGGUGAGUAACACGUAUCCAACCUGCCCUUUACUCGGGGAUAGCCUUUCGAAAGAAAGAUUAAUACCCGAUAGUAUAAUGAUUCCGCAUGGUUUCAUUAUUAAAGGAUUCCGGUAAAGGAUGGGGAUGCGUUCCAUUAGGUUGUUGGUGAGGUAACGGCUCACCAAGCCUUCGAUGGAUAGGGGUCCUGAGAGGAAGGUCCCCCACAUUGGAACUGAGACACGGUCCAA